UACAGAGGGUGCGAGCGUUGUCCGGAAUCAUUGGGCGUAAAGGGCGCGUAGGUGGCCCGGUCAGUUCGUGGUGAAAGCGCGGGGCUCAACCCUGCGUCGGCCAUGAAUACUGCCGCGGCUGGAGCACUGUAGAGGCAGGCGGAAUUCCGGGUGUAGCGGUGGAAUGCGUAGAGAUCCGGAAGAACACCGGUGGCGAAGGCGGCCUGCUGGGCAGUUGCUGACACUGAGGCGCGACAGCGUGGGGAGCAAACAGG
rnacentral:rRNA from 1 species